AGAACGAACGCUGGCGGCAUGCCUAAUACAUGCAAGUCGAACGAACUCUUCGGAGUUAGUGGCGCACGGGUGCGUAACGCGUGGGAAUCUGCCCCUUGGUUCGGAAUAACAGUUGGAAACGACUGCUAAUACCGGAUGAUGACGAAAGUCCAAAGAUUUAUCGCCAAGGGAUGAGCCCGCGUAGGAUU
rnacentral:rRNA from 1 species